CCUACGGGGGGCAGCAGUGGGGAAUAUUGGACAAUGGGGGAAACCCUUAUCCAGCGACGCCGCGUGAGGGAAGAAGGUUUUCGGAUUGUAAACCUCUGUCAGUGGGGACGAUAAUGACGGUACCCACGGAGGAAGCCACGGCUAACUACGUGCCAGCAGCCGCGGUAAUACGGAGGUGGCAAGCGUUGUCCGGAAUUACUGGGUGUAAAGGGAGCGUAGGCGGGAUGUUAAGUCAGAAGUGAAAAUUAUGGGCUCAACGCAUAAACUGCAUUUGAAACUGAUAUUCUUGAGUGAAGUAGAGGCAAGCGGAAUUCGUAGUGUAGCGGUGAAAUGCUUAGAUAUUAGGAAGAACACCGAUUGCGAAGGCAGCUUACUAAGCUGUUACUGACGCUGAGGCUCGAAAGCGUGGGGAGCAAACAGGAUUAGAUACCCUAGUAGUC
rnacentral:rRNA from 1 species